CUCCACCGAAAGAAAAGGAGUGGCGAACGGGUGAGUAACACGUGGGUAACCUGCCCAUCAGAAGGGGAUAACACUUGGAAACAGGUGCUAAUACCGUAUAACAAUCGAAACCGCAUGGUUUCGGUUUGAAAGGCGCUUUUGCGUCACUGAUGGAUGGACCCGCGGUGCAUUAGCUAGUUGGUGAGGUAACGGCUCACCAAGGCAACGAUGCAUAGCCGACCUGAGAGGGUGAUCGGCCACAUUGGGACUGAGACACGGCCCAAACUCCUACGGGAGGCAGCAGUAGGGAAUCUUCGGCAAUGGACGCAAGUCUGACCGAGCAACGCCGCGUGAGUGAAGAAGGUUUUCGGAUCGUAAAACUCUGUUGUUAGAGAAGAACAAGGAUGAGAGUAAAAUGUUCAUCCCUUGACGGUAUCUAACCAGAAAGCCACGGCUAACUACGUGCCAGCAGCCGCGGUAAUACGUAGGUGGCAAGCGUUGUCCGGAUUUAUUGGGCGUAAAGCGAGCGC
rnacentral:rRNA from 1 species